GACGAACGCUGGCGGCGUGCUUAACACAUGCAAGUCGAACGGUAAGGCUCUUUCGGGGGUACACGAGUGGCGAACGGGUGAGUAACACGUGAGUAACCUGCCCUUGACUUUGGGAUAACAGCAGGAAACUGUUGCUAAUACUGGAUAUUCAACCUUUUAGGCAUCUUUUGGGUUGGAAAGCUCCGGCGGUCAGGGAUGGACUCGCGGCCUAUCAGCUUGUUGGUGAGGUAGUGGCUCACCAAGGCUUCGACGGGUAGCCGGCCUGAGAGGGUGACCGGCCACAUUGGGACUGAGAUACGGCCCAGACUCCUACGGGAGGCAGCAGUGGGGAAUAUUGCACAAUGGGCGCAAGCCUGAUGCAGCAACGCCGCGUGUGGGAUGACGGCCUUCGGGUUGUAAACCACUUUCAUCCAUGACGAAGCGUGAGUGACGGUAGUGGGAGAAGAAGCACCGGCUAACUACGUGCCAGCCGCCGCCGUAAAA
rnacentral:rRNA from 1 species